AAGGGUAGAGCUCAGUGGUCGAGCACGUGCUUAUUAGCAUGCACGAGGUCCUGAGUUCAAUUCCCAGUACCUCCA
rnacentral:tRNA from 1 species